rnacentral:rRNA from 1 species
GGAAUUUUCGUCAAUGGGGGGAAACCCUGAACGAGCGACGCCGCGUGGAGGAUGAAGGUCUUCGGAUUGUAAACUCCUUUUAUACGGGACGAUAAUGACGGUACCGUAGGAAUAAGCCCCGGCUAACUCUGUGCCAGCAGCCGCGGUAAUACAGAGGGGGCAAGCGUUGUCCGGAAUUACUGGGCGUAAAGCGCACGCAGGUGGUCACGCAAGUGGUGUGUGAAACCAAUCAGCUUAACUGAUUGACGCCAUGCCAAACUGCGAGACUAGAGGGAUGGAGAGGUUGUUCGAAUUGCUGGUGUAGUGGUGAAAUGCGUAGAGAUCAGCAGGAAGACCAAGGGCGAAAGCAGACAACUGGCCAUCACCUGACACUGAGGUGCGAAAGCGUGGGGAGCGAACUGGAUUAGAUACCCAGGUAGUCCACGCCGUAAACGAUGUAUGCUCGGUAUCUGGGCUGUUACAGGCUUGGGUACCUCAGGAAACCCGGUAAGCAUACCGCCUGGGAAGUACGAACGCAAGUUUAAAACUCAAAGGAAUUGACGGA